AUAUCGCACAUAGCUGAUGCACAUGGUGGCUUUUCCUCCCAGUUCCACCGCAUUAGCUGUUCCCCUCUGGAGG
rnacentral:sRNA from 23 species